CCCAAAGAGCACCACCAGCUGUUCAAACACAUGAGCCUAGAGGAGACAUUCAAGACACAGUGGACCCCAUAUAGUAGUAUUGGAGAGAAUUCAAGCCACGAUGGAUUAUGUAAACUGGUUACUUUGAGAAACUAUGACACAGCAUCACCUUUCGUAAGGGGACUUUUAUAUACAAUGUAAAACUCAUUACACAGGAAUUACAAAUGGUGCUCAUAGGAGUCAAGUGUUCUUGUAAGACACGGGCUGUGCAUUGUGUCACUCUCUGGAUACUUGGAGGAAGAUUUCCAGUGAAUAGAAAGUCAGCCAAGUUACUUGAAGGAGCACUGGAAAGAUCCUCCUGUCUUGUUCCUGACAUCUUCCGGGUUACCAGGCUCUACCUUUUCUUCAGCUGAGAGGAGGAAGUGCGAAGAGCAUAGAGAAAACAAGUUAGCGAGAAAUCCCUUGGAGUUGGUCUACUUGUGAAAGCGGCUUAUUUAAUUCAUGUUGCUGCAACAAGGAAAUGCACGGACGUAUGCGUAUCAUUAGAGUUAUACCUGCUUUGCAACUCAUGAAUAGACUUUAAGAGGUCAGAUUGCUGUUCUCGUUACUGUUUCUAUUGCUGUGAUGAAGCAUCAUCAUGACGAUCAUGGUCCGCUAUUGAAGAAGGGCAGAACAGAAACUCAAGCAAGGAUGGAAUCUGGAGGCAGGAACUGAUGCAGCACUCAGGAGAAUGGAGUUGGGAUCUCAGUCAAGCCUCAGACUCACAGCAACCCACCUGCUUCACCAUCCUCCGUGCUGGGACUAUAGGUGUGAGCUACCAGACCCUAAUCAACACUGCCUUAAAUGAACUGGCAAGCGCCACUCUUCUUGCACACUGUUAAGUGAAUAGGUGACUUGAACGGAACAGUGACAAGUGGGACACUUAGUGUGACAACCAAGACAGGUCCUCAGUGACUAAAGAGCAGCUGAUAUAGACACACUGGACAAGGGGAAGCUCAGAUCCUGGGUGGAAAGAGUCAUGGCAUAUGAUGUCAUUCGACGUCACCAUGCAACUUUAGAACGGCAGCCGUUUACAGCGGCUGACAACGUUUCCUGAUGUUAAUGGGUCUGAGUGCUCACCACUGCAAUGUUUUUCUCCAAUGCUCCAAUCAGGAUCAGAACUGCUUACCACUGAUCUCUGCUUCUCAGGCUGCCUCUAACACAGCCCUAUAGGACAAGGAGUGUCUCUGUUGAAGAGUAAGGCACCGUUUCCUGGUUGAAAUUCAGCAUACAUGCCUCAGUGGUAAAUGCUCUAACACGAAACAUCAGGCGUGUCUACCUGCUGCUGUGCACUGCUCCUGGGGUGUUGGCCAUAAAACUGAAAAACUUUCAAACUGCUGUGAAUCAAUUGCUUCACUCAAGACCCAUGACAUGUAUGUUAACCAAAACAAACAAACAAACAAACAAACAAACAGAAAACAGAAAAAUAGUCUGUACUAGCAAUGGAGAAAAUGAAGACACCAAGAUUUGGUGGGAAGAAUAACUGAAUGGAGUGG
rnacentral:lncRNA from 1 species